CUGCCCGUCAAGCCAUGGAAGCUGUUUCUACCUGAAUAGGUUGAGCUAACCGAGGUGUUAAAACCUUGGAGGCAGACCUACACGGUAGGAGGAGUGACUGGGGUU
rnacentral:rRNA from 1 species